GAUGAACGCCGGCGGCGUGCCUAAUACAUGCAAGUCGAGCGAACAGACGAGGAGCUUGCUCCUCUGACGUUAGCGGCGGACGGGUGAGUAACACGUGGAUAACCUACCUAUAAGACUGGGAUAACUUCGGGAAACCGGAGCUAAUACCGGAUAAUAUAUUGAACCGCAUGGUUCAAUAGUGAAAGACGGUUUUGCUGUCACUUAUAGAUGGAUCCGAGCCGCAUUAGCUAGUUGGUAAGGUAACGGCUUACCAAGGCAACGAUGCGUAGCCGACCUGAGAGGGUGAUCGGCCACACUGGAACUGAGACACGGUCCAGACUCCUACGGGAGGCAGCAGUAGGGAAUCUUCCGCAAUGGGCGAAAGCCUGACGGAGCAACGCCGCGUGAGUGAUGAAGGUCUUCGGAUCGUAAAACUCUGUUAUUAGGGAAGAACAAAUGUGUAAGUAACUAUGCACGUCUUGACGGUACCUAAUCAGAAAGCCACGGCUAACUACGUG
rnacentral:rRNA from 1 species